UUUAUCAAACUCAAGAAUUACUCUUGGCCAGGCAUGGUGCUCCCACCUGUAAUCCCAGUGACCUGGGAGCCUGAGGCAGGAGGAUCGCCUUUGAGGCCAGCUUUAGCAACUUAGUGAGACCCUGUUUCAAAAUAAAAAAGGAAAAAAGGGCUGGGGAUGUAGCUCAGUGGUUGAGAUCUUGCCUUCAAUCAAGAGGCCCUGGAUUAUAUCCCCAGCACAGUGCGGGGGCAAGAAUGAAAGAGAGAGAAAAGCAAGAAGGAUAAAGAAAUAAAUAAUAAUUAUCCCCAUUUUUUUUCUACAGGGAAUGGUGGGGGAGCAGAGAGGGACGGUCUUUGCCUAAGGUCAUCUAGCUCUUGCUCUGUCCUGUUGCACUGAGUCAGCCUUUCCUGUGGCGUAUAGUAGGUGCUGCCCCUACAGGGUAGGACCCUGGGCUGGACCUUAGCUGAGGAGGAGUCCAAACCCCCACUCCCCUCCUCAGUGCUUGCUCUUGGCUCAGCUCACCUGUCACCUUUCUUUGGGCCUUGGGCUCCUGAAGUUGUGGUUUUCCUCCAGGUGGUGACUCAGAGCCCAUAGCCUGUCCUGCAUGCCAACCUCCCCUCCCUUGGGCCUCACUGACUGCCCUGAGCAAGAGGCAGCUGCGCUUCCCCUGAAACGGCAACCACAAACUGCCAAGUGCACUCACCUACCCUCUAACCCCACCCCACCCUUCAGUUGGGGUUGUCCUCACCCCAACUCUGGGCAUCAAUUAAAAGAGAACAGGGGGGUUUUCAUACAUCCAUGGGCUUGGUGAAGUUUUGUUUUUUUUGUUUUCUGGUACUGAGGAUUUACCCCAGUGGUGCUCUACCACUUAGCACUGUCCCCAGUCCUUUUUGUUUUGUUUUGAGACAUGGUUUCAUUAUGUUAGCCAGGCUGGCCUCAAACUUGCAAUCUUCUUGCUUCAGCCUCACUAAUUGCUAGAUUACAAGCAUAUGCCACGGCACUCUGGUGUUUAUGAGCUCAGCCUUCCCAGCAUGAGGGUGGAAGAUAUUCCCAUUUCAUUGAUGGGGAGAGUGAGGCCAACAUGUUUUAGGGGCUACUUUCAGAAUCAUUCAUUCAUUCAUUCACAAGCAUUCCUCAAAGCUCUUUGAAACCCAGGAUGGUGGACACAGAGACACAAUGUCCAGGUGUUCCUCAGGGAAGGACUCAUUGUUCUACCUGUGGGAGAGCCACCCUCCAGUAUUGUCUCUGCUGCAGGGAUUACCUCCAGGGAUUGCCCCUGCUCCUUACCAGAGCUCCUGCCCUUCCCUGGAUGGCCUAUAUCCUAGGCCUAAUCCAGGUGGGAUAGAAAGGCCCGGCUAGGGGCUGGGGAUGUGGCUCAAGUGGUAGCAUGCUCGCCUAGCAUGUGUGAGGCACUGGGUUCGAUUCUUAGCACCACAUAAAAAACAAAAUAAAGAUAUUGUGUCCACCUAAAACUAAAAAAUAAAUAUUGAAAAAAAAAAAAAAAGGCCCGGCUAUUUUAGCCCCACGCAGGGUUGAGACAGGCUAUUCCUGCUUCAGAGCUCCCAUGAGGCAAGCAAGGCUGGGCUGAGCCUGCACCGCAGCUCAGCUUCUCCCUCUGCUCAGUUCUGCCUCUUCCCUUCUCCAGGCUGUGAUUAUCACAGUUCCCCCCAUAACCAUCCUGCAUGCUACCUCCAAGCCAGAGUCCUCUUCCCAGAGAACCUGCCCUGCAACUCUCGGCUUCCAAAACACUGUCAUAGCAGAGAGGCACAGAAACAACCACAGUGGAGAAGAAUGGUAACACAGCCCCCAGAGGUCCAAGAAGCAGUUUUCUUGUCUCAUUGAGUGCAUGGGCCACAGCAUUCAGGACUGGGGAUCAGCACCAAGGCAAGAGCCCAUGUGCCUGUUUCCAUCUGAAUGCUAUAGCCCAUCAUCCUUGGUUAGAGGAGGAGCAGGCUCUCCCCUUGUCUGCCAUGAAGCUCUCAUACCCAGAUGGCUCCUAUAAGCCCCCAUGAGACUGGGCCCUCCCCAGUUUCUUCUCUAAAUACAUACCCUGACUGUGGGUCUAGUUGCCAUCUGCAUUCUGAGUGACCAAGUGCCAUCCAGAGCAGUUGCAGCCCUGGGGUUGCCCAAGAGAGUUGCUCUGGAUCUGGAGGGCUCUGAAGGGAGAGCAGAUGCUUAGGCUAAGUAAGGAAUCCCAAGAUUGUGAGGGACACAUCUGGGUUCCAAACCCACAAAUGGAAACAUUUCUAAGACAGCCACCAACCUCCACCCACCGUGGGGCUGACCAGGCAGCAGCUCUAUACUAGGUUCUGGAUUGUGCUCGCUAUGCCUCUGGUGAUGAGGAACUCAUCACCCUAUGCCCCUCCAAGAGGUCCCUGGUUGGAUACUUGAUAAUUAGGGAGAUCUUCUUCCCUGGAACCCCAAUCCUGUGUGUCCCUGGGCCUUCCCAGGCUCCUCCUCUGGAACUUGGACCCACGGGGCAUGCUCCCUUUGUCCAAAGUUGUUUUUGAGCACCAGACAUCCACACAUGGAGAGAUCACCAUGGGAACUUACCAUGGGGUCUUAGGAAAGUUCCUCUGCCAGGGCCUCAGUUCUCCAUCUGUCCAGCUAGGGGGAGGGGGAGGGCUCAUCUUUCAGCUUCCUGCCUGCCCUGACAUUUGAUGGCUUAGCAAUAAAGAAAUGCCAUGAUCCUCUGCUUGUCUCUACUGCCCUACUUCACCCUUGUCUUCUCCCCUCCAGGUCACCCAGCCCCAGCACCCUCCAUUAUCCUCCUGACCUGCCACCUCUCCUGGGCUGAUGAGAGAAAAGCCUCCUGUUCCUAUGGAUGGGCAGAAUCUUGAGGUGUCUCGAGUGGCCAAAAGUCAAGAUAACCACUUUCCAGGAGAGCCCUCACUGGGAGAGUUGGUUCAGGGGUACUGGCCAGGUGAUUGAACCCAGAGGCACCUACCCACUGAGCCACAUCCCCUGAUAACUAUCAAAAGGAACUGCCAGAGUAGUUUUUAGCUUAAGGCCUUUAUUUCUAACCAACACAGACCACCCAUCACUCAAAUAGCCUUCCAGUCUAUUACUUCUCAAUCGGACUUCUAUCAUGGACCACUCGAUAGACCUGAUUUUUAAAGGGGGACUCCAAACUGCUUGCCCCACACCGUCCCUUUUCAGCCUGAAGAAGCCAAAAAGAUCUUCUUCGCCCCCCUUCCUUACAGCAGUAAGGAGUUCCCAAAUUAGAGGGGGGAAUGAAGCCAGAUUUAAAGUUAGGUAGUCAGUGUAGUUAGGUAAAUCGGGUCUAAUACCGAGUGAAAUCUAAAAUGGAGGCCAUGCUG